rnacentral:lncRNA from 1 species
GUUGGUUCAUUCGUUUUUUUGAGUUGUCUCACUAUGUAGUCCUAGUUAGCCUGGAACUUGGUAUGUACACCAGGCUGGCCUUGAACUUCUAGAGAUCUUCCUGCCUCUGCUUCCAGGGUACUGGAUUAUAGCCAAGUGCCACAACAAAAAAUUAAAAUAUGAACCCACAAAGAAAAAAACCUCAGAACAUUCUUUUGAGAAAAAAAAAAGAAAUAAAGAUUUAGUUAUUGAUACUAAGGGUGUAAAUUACAUAGAUUUUUUUUUUAAAUUAAUCAUUCUAUUUUCAUUUACAUCUUCUUUUUUCCCAAUUUUUAAUUAGGUAUUUUCUUCAUUUACAUUUCAAAUGCUAUCCUGAAAGUCCCCUAUACCCUCCCCCCACCCUGCUCCCCUACCCACCCACUCCCACUUCUUGGCCCUGGUGUUCCAGGCAUAUAAAGUUUGCAAUACCAAGGGGCCUCUCUUUCCAGUGAUGGCCGACUAGGCCAUCUUCUGCUACAUAUGCAGCUAGAGACACGAGCUCUGGGGGGGUACUGGUUAGUUCAUAUUGCUGUUCCUCCUAUAGGGUUGCAGAUCCCUUCAGCUCUUGGGUACUUUCUCUAGCUCCUCCACUGGGGGCCCUGUGUUCCAUCCAAUAGAUGACUGUGAGCAUCCACUUAUGUGUUUGCCAGGCACUGGCAUAGCCUCACAUGAGACAGCUAUAUCAGGGUCCUUUCAGCAAAAUUUUUCUGGCAUAUGCAAUAGUGUCUGUGUUUGGUGGCUGAUUAUGGGAUGGAUCCCUAGUGGGGUAGUCUCUGGAUGGUCCAUCCUUUCAUCUUAGCUCCAGACUUUGUCUCUGUAACUCCUUCCAUGGGUAUUUUGUUCUUUAUUCUAAGGAGCAAUGAAGUAUCCACAUGUUGGUCUUCCUUAUUCUUGAUUUUCUUGUGUUUUGCAAAUUAAAAUUCUCAACUGAGGAAUACCGAAAAUGUUCAACGUCCUUAAUCAUCAGAGAAAUGCAAAUCAAAACAACCCUGAGAUUCUACCUCACACCAGUCAGAAUGGCUAAGAUCAAAAAUCCAGGUGACAGCAGAUGCUGGGGAGGAUGUGGAGAAAGAGGAACACUCUUCCAUUGCUGGUGGGAUUGCAAGCUUGUACAACUACUCGGGAAAUCAGUCUGGCUGUUCCUCAGAAAAUUGGACAUAGUACUACCAGAAGAUCCAGCAAUACCUCUCCUGGGCAUAUAUCCAGAAGGUGUUCCAACUAGUAAUAAGGACACAUGCUCCACUAUGUUCAUAGCAGCCUUAUUUAUAAUAGCCAGAAGCUGGAAAGAACCCAGAUGUCCCUCAAUAGAGGAAUGGAUACAGAAAAUGUGGUACAUUUACACAGGAGUACUACUCAGCUAUUAAAAACAAUGAAUUUAUGAAAUUCUUGGGAAAAUGGAUGGAUCUGGAGGAUAUCAUCCUGAGUGAGGUAACCCAAUCACAAAAAAAGUCACUUGAUACACACUCACUGAUAAGUGGAUAUUAGCCCAGGAACCUAGAAUACCCAAGAAACAACUUGCGUUAACAUCUUCUUAACCUUUAUUUUUCGUUUGUUUUAAAAUGCCUACUUCACCCCAAAGUCUAUAGAGAGCUUUGGUUUACUUGUGUUUCCCAAUCCUUAUUAAAAAUGGUCUCCUCACAAAGAAAUAGUAUUUCACAAAGUCAAAAUAACUUCCAUGUGUAGAUCGGACUGAUCUCUUCCUCGCAGAGUGUCCAGGAUACAGUGUUGGCAGUGAUCCAAUUCUGUGAACUCCAAGAACAAUUAGCUUACGACACUCCUCCCUCAUGCACAUCACCCUGCUUCCUGACCCUGCUCUUGUUGGUCCUGCUCCUACCCAUGGCUACUUCUGCAUCCUCCGAGACUUCUGCAUCCUCUGCUCAGAAGAAGCUUGUUUUCCUAUCCAUCUUCUAACACGUUCUCUGGAGAAAGACUAAAGCGUGUGCUCUCCUCCCUCACCACAUUCAUUCUUAGUCAGAAUUCUAUAUAGGUCUGGUGAUGGCAUUUCUAUACAGGCAAGGUUAUACUUUUUAAAAGUCAUCUUACCCUACAACACCGUCAUUACCUCCCCAUCCCCUGUCUGUUUCUUGCUGGCCCCACGUGUCUCCUCAAGUCGUACCCUCUGCUGCUUCCAUUUCACACAGAUUCCAUAUUGUCCUUCCCUCUUCUCUUAGUUUAUAGAUUUUUGUUUCCUGAAUUACAUAGAGAGAGGCAUGCACAUACUUGGACACAUUUCUGUCCCCUGUUGCAUUUUAUUUCUGCAAAUGAGAUAAACAUGUGGUAUUCAUCUCUGAGUCUCUGUUACUUUAUUAAUGUAGCAAUCUACCAAUUCAUCUGUUUGUGCACAUGGAGACUGGUUCUGUGUGUUUACUAUUGUGAGAGUACAGGAAUAAACAUGGAUGUGCAAUUUUCUCUAACUUAAAGUCUGGUAGUGGUAUGGCUAGAUCAUGGUAGUUAACAUUUUUAAUGUUUUGAAAACCUUGAUACUGAUUCCCACAGUGGCUUUAUCCCUUUACAUUGUCCCCACCAGUGUAUCUGCGUUCUUCUUUCCCUGCAUCCUUGCUAACACUGGUUGUCAUUUCUUCCUUGGUGGGCUCUUCUGACUGGUAUGAGAUAGAAUCAUAAAGCAAUUUUAGUAUACUUCGCCAAUGGCGAAAGGUGUUGAAGAAAAUUAAAUUUGAGAAAAUCUCUGUUCAGUUUGUUAGCCCACAUAUUAUUGUGUAAUUUAGGGGUAUAUAGCUCAUUCUGUACUCUAGAUCUCAGUCCCCUGUUAGAUGUAUUGUUGACAAAGACUUUUUUUUCUAUUGUAUAGGGCAUCUCUUUAGUCUGGUGAUUGCUUCUUUGCACUACUUAAAUCUCACAAAAUACCACUUGACAAUUCUGGUGUUGUUAUGAUGUUGAAAUCCUUUUCAGAGUAUCCAUGAUACAUACUUCCUAGGUCAUUUAAUUAUAUAGCAUUUAUCUUUCUAAGAAUUUACCCAAGUAGGAAAUUGGGGAUUUUGUAAUUAGAGUCAUUGCUAUAUAUAAAGCAGCCACAACAACUACCACCACCACCACCACCACCACCACCAUCAUCAUCAUCACCACCAUCAUUAUUUGUAACUGUUUCUUUAGGGUGGAUUUUCUGCAGGUGCUGUGAAAUGGUAGACAUGUGAUUGCUUAUUUAUCCCUUUAAGAGGGUUGUAUUUCUCUUAUCAUAAAAAAUUGUUGUCUUAGGAAGUUUUGUUUCAUUUUUUAUUAUGCAAAGACAAUAGCAUAAGGUAGUUUCAGAUUGUGCUAAGAGGUAAAAAUUGACUGAUUUUGAUAGUCAACAUUUGUAGUGAUCUUAGCUAUACUGUAAAAAUGUAUCUUCUGAUGUGACUUUCAGCUCAAUCCUUGACCUGACAAAGCUAUCAGACGGUUUGGUCAGUCUCUUCAUAGACAUUUAUACAGAAUCUAGCCUUGGAUAUUAACAACAACAACAAAAAAAGCCUGUUGCUUUCUUAGGUAAGUGACUUGCUUGGCAUAGUCCAUCUCCAUAGGCUUCCUUUUUCCAUUUCUUUUUACUCAAAGGAUCACAUGAUUGUAAUGCUACUUUAGUCUUAAAAUAAGUACACUAAUGAUCUUAUCUAGUAAGACUUUCAAAGAAAUGGUCUGACAUUAGUGUUGGUCUUGUGGUUGAAGAAGAAAAGAAGAAAGUCUUUGUCCAUGAGAUAGCUUUGUUGCCUGCUUGGGCACAUUUAAGACAG